rnacentral:rRNA from 1 species
GCGGUGGACGGGUGAGUAACGCGUGGGUAACCUACCCUAGAGUCUGGGAUAACACCGGGAAACUGGUGCUAAUACCGGAUGACUUUUGGACAAGGCAUCUUGUUUAAAAGAAAGGGAACGCUCUAGGAUGGACCUGCGUCCCAUUAGCUAGUUGGUGAGGUAACGGCUCACCAAGGCGACGAUGGGUAGCCGGCCUGAGAGGGUGACCGGCCACACUGGGACUGAGACACGGCCCAGACUCCUACGGGAGGCAGCAGUAGGGAAUAUUGCGCAAUGGGGGCAACCCUGACGCAGCGACGCCGCGUGAGUGAAGAAGGCCUUCGGGUUGUAAAACUCUGUCCUCAGGGAAGAAGGAAGUGACGGUACCUGAGGAGGAAGCCCCGGCUAACUACGUGCCAGCAGCCGCGGUAAUACGUAGGGGGCGAGCGUUGUCCGGAAUUACUGGGCGUAAAGGGUGCGUAGGCGGCCUUUUAAGUCAGAUGUGAAAGACCACA